UGAGAAGAUGGAAUAAAUACUAUUAGAGAAUAUUUACCUCUUGGUCGUUGAUGAAAUCUUCACAGCUACCCAGCUGUCAACAGAUCCAUCUCCGUGACAACUGUGCAAACUCCACCCACUCAUGAAGACCAUGUGAUGCAGCCGAAAGUGCUAGAAAAAGCUAAGGGAGCCGGUCUUCUUCUAUGGAGUGCGCCAUGUUUCUACAGAAGCCCAGAACAGACAAACCAAACACUGGCUCUCAAUAGGGCCUUUUGCAUUUUGCAUGGCCGCCCUAGUAAGGAACAAUUUCCUCCAGAGCCAUGUAAGGAAUAGAGCAGAAGUUGACACAUCAGGAUGUUGUGCAGAAUGUAUUCCUGUCAGGGUGGGACCACAUUGCUAAGGACAACAAGGCCGCUGACCUGCUGUUCUUCAGUCUUGUCACACUGACAGCGGGGAUCACUGCAGUCCGGUGUAUUCCCCUGUCUUGUGUUUCUGGCUGCUCUGUCACCCCCUCUGCUGUGGAUCUGACAAUCUGAUUUGCAUUCACAGCCGUCCUACAGGAUGAAAUCACACUAAUGUUUUGCAAACUAACUUUUGUACCAUUGGACUGCGAUGUGUCACUUGAUGAGCUGGCUCUUUUAAGUGAACAAUGGGAGCCGGCUCCCGUCUGAAUAACAGGAUGAUCCUAGAACGUAUUUGUUAAAUAGAAUCCAGCAAUGUAUCACUUUGAUAACAACAUUAAGACCCAAGCAUGAUGAGACUUUUGUUUAUUGCAAAACAUAGUCCAAUAUAAAUAAAAUGUUCAA